rnacentral:rRNA from 1 species
UACGGAGGGUGCGAGCGUUAUCCGGAAUUACUGGGUUUAAAGGGUGCGUAGGCGGCCCUGUAAGUCAGGAGUGAAAGUUUGCGGCUCAACCGUAAAAUUGCUUUUGAUACUGCGGGGCUAGAAUUAGGAUGAGGUCAGCGGAAUGUGGCAUGUAGCGGUGAAAUGCAUAGAUAUGCCAUAGAACACCAAUUGCGAAGGCAGCUGGCUAGACCUGGAUUGACGCUGAGGCACGAAAGCGUGGGGAGCGAACGGG